GACGAACCGUGCGAACGUUAUUCGGAAUCACUGGGCUUAAAGGGCGCGUAGGCGGGCUGUCAAGUCGGUGGUGAAAUCUUUCGGCUCAACCGGAAAAUCGCCUUCGAUACUGGCGGCCUUGAGGGAGGUAGGGGCAUGCGGAACUUCCGGUGGAGCGGUGAAAUGCGUAGAUAUCGGAAGGAACACCGAUGGCGAAAGCAGCGUGCUGGACCUUUUCUGACGCUGAGGCGCGAAAGCCAGGGGAGCAAACGGG
rnacentral:rRNA from 1 species